UACGUAGGGGGCAAGCGUUGUCCGGAAUCAUUGGGCGUAAAGGGCGCGUAGGCGGCUAUUCAAGUCAGCUGUGAAAUCUCCGGGCUUAACUCGGAACGGUCAGCUGAUACUGUUUUGCUAGAGUGCAGAAGGGGCAAUCGGAAUUCUCGGUGUAGCGGUGAAAUGCGUAGAUAUCGAGAGGAACACCUGAGGUGAAGACGGGUUGCUGGGCUGACACUGACGCUGAUGCGCGAAAGCCAGGGUAGCAAACAGG
rnacentral:rRNA from 1 species